UGUCCUCUAAAUAGGGACCAGUAUGAACGGCAACAUGAGAAAGUAACUGUCUCUUUAGGCUAGCCAAUGAACCUGACCUGUCUGUACAAACGCAGACAUAAAAAAACAAGACAAAAAGACCCUGUGAAGCUUUAAAUGUAGAAUCAACGAACUGAUCAAUACAUUUUUGGUUGGGGCAACCAAAGAGAAAUAUAAACCUCACACCCAGUCAUACGGCCAACAAGCCAACUGACAUACAACAGACCCAGUAUUACUGAUCAAAGAACCAAGUUACUCCAGGGAUAACAGCGCUACAUUCUUGAAGAGUCCGUAUCAACAAGAAUACCUACGACCUCGAUGUUGGAUUAGGGUACCCAGAUGGCGCAAAAGUUAUCAACGGUUCGUUUGUUCAACGAUUAAAAC
rnacentral:rRNA from 1 species